GACGAACGCUGGCGGCGUGCUUAACACAUGCAAGUCGAACGGAAAGGCCCUGCUUUUGUGGGGUGCUCGAGUGGCGAACGGGUGAGUAACACGUGAGUAACCUGCCCUUGACUUUGGGAUAACUUCAGGAAACUGGGGCUAAUACCGGAUAGGAGCUCCUGCUGCAUGGUGGGGGUUGGAAAGUUUCGGCGGUUGGGGAUGGACUCGCGGCUUAUCAGCUUGUUGGUGGGGUAGUGGCUUACCAAGGCUUUGACGGGUAGCCGGCCUGAGAGGGUGACCGGCCACAUUGGGACUGAGAUACGGCCCAGACUCCUACGGGAGGCAGCAGUGGGGAAUAUUGCACAAUGGGCGGAGGCCUGAUGCAGCAACGCCGCGUGCGGGAGGACGGCCUUCGGGUUGUAAACCGCUUUCGCCUGUGACGAAGCGUGAGUGACGGUAAUGGGUAAAGAAGCACCGGCUAACUACGG
rnacentral:rRNA from 1 species